CUGUACAAAUAUUAACUAACAUUAGAUGUUAUUGUUUCCAAAAGCCAUGGAACUGAUAAGAAGGAUCACUCUUGACAUUCUCAGGCUCCCAUCGCGGCCACAGGUUUACCUUUUUUUUCUCCUGUCGUCGCCUUUUCUGCCUCUUCUCAUCCUUUCUCUCUCUACUGUUCUGCGGUGUGACGAGUCGGAAUCCUCUCCGCACCCAGCCCGCGCCUUUCUUCUUUUCCUUGCGCUGUUCUAUUUCUCUCUUUAGGCCGCCGCCGCCACUGCUGCACAGCUGGUGUCGGUGCCGCGCUUUUACCCCCAGGUCGUUCCCGCAGCCUACGGCCCAGGCUGCCUUGGGUAUUUCUGCUCAAGGUAACCACAUCCCUCUUUAAAAAUUCCGCCAAAAAAGAGAAGAUGCUUUACCCGACUCUUUGGGCCGUUAUCUCACUGCGAACUUUCUGACCAAGUAUACAACUUCCCAGAGGGCCUAGGAGAAGUGCUGUACAGAGAGCAGUUCGACUUCAACGCUGAGCCACCUUGGGAACCUAGCUGAUGAUAGGGGGGUUCCAUCUCCCAACUUGCCCAUUUUGUUGCAUAUUCUAAGGACCCAGACAUAGGCUUGGUGGCCCGUCUCUUGUUUUUCCUGGUUUAUGACUUUCGGCUUUGUGGAGUACGGCUGAGAUGAAAGGAUUUAUUGAUGAUGCAAACUACUCCGUUGGCCUGUUGGAUGAAGGAACAAACCUUGGAAAUGUUAUUGAUAACUAUGUUUAUGAACAUACCCUGACAGGGAAAAAGGCAUUUUUUGUGGGAGAUCUUGGAAAGAUUGUGAAGAAACACAGUCAAUGGCAGAAUGUAGUGGCUCAGAUAAAGCCAUUCUACACAGUGAAGUGCAACUCUGCUCCAUCCAUACUUGAGAUUUUGGCAGCUCUUGGAACUGGAUUUGCUUGUUCCAGUAAAACUGAAAUGGCUUUAGUGCAAGAGUUGGGUGUAUCUCCAGAAAAUAUUAUUUACAUAAGUCCUUGCAAGCAAGUGUCUAAGAUAAAGUAUGCAGCAAAAGUUGGAGUGAAUAUCAAGACAUGUGACAAUGAAAUUGAAUUGAAGAAAAUUGCACGUAAUCACCCAAAUGCCAAGGUCUUACUACAUAUUGCAACAGAAGAUAAUAUUGGAGGUGAAGAGGGUAACAUGAAGUUUGGCACUACCCUGAAGAACUGGAGGCAUCUCUUGGAAUGUGCUAAGGAACUUGAUGUCCAAAUAAUUGGGGUUAAAUUUCAUGUUUUGAGUGCUUGCAAAGAAUCUCAAGUAUAUGUACAUGCUCUAUCUGAUGCUCGAUGUGUGUUUGACAAGGCUGGAGAAAUUGGCUUUACGAUGAACAUGUUAGACAUUGGUGGAGGAUUCACGGGAACUGAAUUUCAAUUGGAAGAGGUUAAUCAUGUUAUCAGUCCUCUGUUGGAUAUCUACUUUCCUGAAGGAUCUGGUGUUAAGAUAAUUUCAGAACCCGGAAGCUACUAUGUGUCUUCUGCAUUUACACUUGCAGUUAAUAUCAUAGCAAAGAAAGUUGUUGAAAAUGAUAAAUUUUCCUCUGGAGUAGGAAAAAACCGGAAGUGAUGAACCAGCUUUCAUGUAUUAUAUGAAUGAUGGUGUUUAUGGUUCUUUUGCAAGUAAACUUUCUGAGGACUUAAAUACCAUUCCAGAGGUUCACAAGAAAUACAAGGAAGAUGAGCCUCUGUUUACAAGCAGUCUUUGGGGUCCAUCCUGUGAUGAGCUUGAUCAAAUUGUGGAAAGCUGUCUUCUUCCUGAGCUGAAUGUGGGAGGUUGGCUUACCUUUGAUAACAUGGGAGCAGAUUCUUUCCAUGAACCAUCUGCUUUUAAUGAUUUUCAGAGGCCAGCCAUUUAUUACAUGAUGUCAUUCAGUGAUUGGUAUGAGAUGCAAGAUGCUGGAAUUACUUCCGAUGCAAUGAUGAAGAACUUCUUCUUUGUGCCUUCUUGCAUUCAGCUGACCCAAGAAGAAGCUUUUCCACUGAAGCUUAAGCAGGCAUUAACGCUUCUUUAGAUCUGAAGUUGCAGGUUAAGCUUGUCUGGUCAACAUUCCAGUGUGGAAAAAUAAUUUAAAUGAUCUUAUUCUCUUAAUUAUUUGGCAACAAAAACUAUUAGUAAUAGCUAUUUGGGACCAGACAAAUCAGCUUCCAUCUAUAAUUCAUUGGGGAUAAUGGGAGAUUUAGAUAAUGUAUCCAGAUUUAAACCUACCAGUUUGUCCUACCCCUUAAGUGUUUAAAAUAAAAUAUGCAACAAAAUGGAUGACUUAGUGGAGAUGGAAGCCCAUUAAUUGGGUUCCCCAUUAAACUGUUUACAUACAAGAACACAGUUUUUAUACUAAGGAUUUGUGUUUAUAAGUCUUGUAAAGUUCAUGUCUUUCACCCAGAUAUAUCAAAUGUUAGCAGAAGACCAGUGUGACUUCAUUAGAUAACGUUUAGUGUAUUUAGAAUGUGUAAAUUUGUGCUUUGAACUGUAGUUUAAUAAAUGUAAAAUUGCAUCAUAGUAUUUGUUGUAUUUGACCUAAUGUAACCCUUGUAUGAUUGCAAUAAAAUUUUGUGUAGAUUUAAAAAAAAAAAAAAAAAAAAA